rnacentral:rRNA from 1 species
UACAGAGGGUGCAAGCGUUGUUCGGAAUUAUUGGGCGUAAAGCGCGCGUAGGCGGCCAUUCAAGUCGGAGGUGAAAGCCCAGGGCUCAACCCUGGAAUUGCCUUCGAUACUGUUUGGCUAGAGACCGGAAGAGGUAAGUGGAACUGCGAGUGUAGAGGUGAAAUUCGUAGAUAUUCGCAAGAACACCAGUGGCGAAGGCGGCUUACUGGUCCGGUUCUGACGCUGAGGCGCGAAAGCGUGGGGAGCGAACAGG